rnacentral:rRNA from 1 species
UACCGGAUGUGAUUACUGGAAGGCAUCUUCUGGUACUUAAAGUCGGGGACCGUAAGGCCUGACGCUUCUCGAUAAGCCCGCGGCCUAUCAGCUAGUUGGUGAGGUAACGGCUCACCAAGGCUAAGACGGGUAGCUGGUCUGAGAGGACGACCAGCCACACUGGAACUGAGACACGGUCCAGACACCUACGGGUGGCAGCAGUCGAGAAUUUUUCUCAAUGGGCGAAAGCCUGAAGGAGCGACGCCGCGUGGGGGAUGAAUGGCUUCGGCCCGUAAACCCCUGUCAUUUGCGAUCAAACCUUACGACCUAACACGUCGUGAGCUGAUAGUAGCGGAAGAGGAAGGGACGGCUAACUCUGUGCCAGCAGCCGCGGUAAUACAGAGGUCCCAAGCGUUGUUCGGAUUCACUGGGCGUAAAGGGUGCGUAGGCGGUCGGGUAAGUCUGACGUGAAA